rnacentral:rRNA from 1 species
GAUGAACGCUGGCGGCGUGCCUAAUACAUGCAAGUCGAGCGAAUGGAUUAAGAGCUUGCUCUUAUGAAGUUAGCGGCGGACGGGUGAGUAACACGUGGGUAACCUGCCCAUAAGACUGGGAUAACUCCGGGAAACCGGGGCUAAUACCGGAUAAUAUUUUGAACUGCAUGGUUCAAAAUUGAAAGGCGGCUUCGGCUGUCACUUAUGGAUGGACCCGCGUCGCAUUAGCUAGUUGGUGAGGUAACGGCUCACCAAGGCAACGAUGCGUAGCCGACCUGGGAGGGUGAUCGGCCACACUGGGACUGAGACACGGCCCAGACUCCUACGGGAGGCAGCAGUAGGGAAUCUUCCGCAAUGGACGAAAGUCUGACGGAGCAACGCCGCGUGAGUGAUGAAGGCUUUCGGGUCGUAAAACUCUGUUGUUAGGGAAGAACAAGUGCUAGUUGAAUAAGCUGGCACCUUGACGGUACCUAACCAGAAAGCCACGGCUAACUACGUGCCAGCAGCCGCGGUAA